rnacentral:tRNA from 1 species
GUCCAUGUAGCUUAUAGCAAAGCAUGACACUGAAGAUGUCAAGAUGGUAGCCAACAAGCACCCAUGGACA